UACGGAGGGUGCAAGCGUUAUCCGGAUUCACUGGGUUUAAAGGGUGCGUAGGUGGGCAGGUAAGUCAGUGGUGAAAUCUCCGGGCUUAACUCGGAAACUGCCAUUGAUACUAUCUGUCUUGAAUACCGUGGAGGUCAGCGGAAUAUGUCAUGUAGCGGUGAAAUGCUUAGAUAUGACAUAGAACACCAAUUGCGAAGGCAGCUGGCUACACGAAUAUUGACACUGAUGCACGAAAGCGGGGGGAUCAAACAGG
rnacentral:rRNA from 1 species